rnacentral:rRNA from 1 species
UACGUAGGCGGAAAAUUAAGUCAGUAGUGAAAUCCUGCAGCUUAACUGUAGAACUGUUAUUGAUACUGGUUUUCUUGAAUAUGGUUGAGGUAAGCGGAAUGUGUAAUGUAGCGGUGAAAUGCUUAGAUAUUACACAGAACACCGAUUGCGAAGGCAGCUUACUAAACUGUUAUUGACGCUGAGGUACGAAAGCGUGGGGAGCGAACAGGAUUAGAUACCCUGGUAGUCC